UACGAAGGGGGCUAGCGUUGCUCGGAAUCACUGGGCGUAAAGGGUGCGUAGGCGGGUCUUUAAGUCAGGGGUGAAAUCCUGGAGCUCAACUCCAGAACUGCCUUUGAUACUGAAGAUCUUGAGUUCGGGAGAGGUGAGUGGAACUGCGAGUGUAGAGGUGAAAUUCGUAGAUAUUCGCAAGAACACCAGUGGCGAAGGCGGCUCACUGGACCAGCACUGACACUGAGGCACGAAAGCGUGGGGAGCAAACAGG
rnacentral:rRNA from 1 species